rnacentral:rRNA from 1 species
CCACAUUGGGACUGAGACACGGCCCAAACUCCUACGGGAGGCAGCAGUGGGGAAUCUUCCGCAAUGGACGAAAGUCUGACGGAGCAACGCCGCGUGAGUGAUGAAGGAUUUCGGUCUGUAAAGCUCUGUUGUUUAUGACGAACGUGCAGUGUGUGAACAAUGCAUUGCAAUGACGGUAGUAAACGAGGAAGCCACGGCUAACUACGUGCCAGCAGCCGCGGUAAUACGUAGGUGGCGAGCGUUGUCCGGAAUUAUUGGGCGUAAAGAGCAUGUAGGCGGCUUAAUAAGUCGAGCGUGAAAAUGCGGGGCUCAACCCCGUAUGGCGCUGGAAACUGUUAGGCUUGAGUGCAGGAGAGGAAAGGGGAAUUCCCAGUGUAGCGGUGAAAUGCGUAGAUAUUGGGAGGAACACCAGUGGCGAAGGCGCCUUUCUGGACUGUGUCUGACGCUGAGAUGCGAAAGCCAGGGUAGCGAACGGGAUUAGAUACCCCGGUAGUCCUGGCCGUAAACGAUGGGUACUAGGUGUAGGAGGUAUCGACCCCUUCUGUGCCGGAGUUAACGCAAUAAGUACCCCGCCUGGGGAGUACGGCCGCAAGGUUGAAACUCAAAGGAAUUGACGGGGGCCCGCACAAGCAGUGGAGUAUGUGGUUUAAUUCGAAGCAACGCGAAGAACCUUACCAGGGCUUGACAUAUAGAUGAAUAACUAAGAGAUUAGUUAGUCCUUCGGGACAUCUAUACAGGUGGUGCAUGGUUGUCGUCAGCUCGUGUCGUGAGAUGUUAGGUUAAGUCCUGCAACGAGCGCAACCCCUGUGAUUAGUUGCCAACAGGUUAAGCUGGGAACUCUAAUCAGACUGCCGGUGAUAAAUCGGAGGAAGGUGGGGAUGACGUCAAAUCAUCAUGCCCUUUAUGUCCUGGGCUACACACGUACUACAAUGGCUGUAACAGAGAGAAGCAACACCGCGAGGUAGAGCGAAACUCCAAAAGCAGUCUCAGUUCGGAUUGAAGGCUGAAAUUCGCCUUCAUGAAGCCGGAAUUGCUAGUAAUGGCAGGUCAGCAUACUGCCGUGAAUACGUUCCCGGGCCUUGUACACACCGCCCGUCACACCAUGAGAGUUGGGAAUACCCGAAGCCUGUGAGCCAACUGUAAAGAGGCAGCAGUCGAAGGUAGAAUCAACGAUUGGGGUGAAGUCGUAACAAGGUAGCCGUAUCAGAAGGUGCGGCUG